rnacentral:tRNA from 1 species
GGGGAUGUAGCUCAGAUGGUAGAGCGCUCGCUUAGCAUGCGAGAGGUACUGGGAUCGAUACCUAGCAUCUCCA